AAAAAAGGUAAGCUACUAAGAGCGAAUGGUGGAUGCCUUGACUGGUAAAGGCGAUGAAGGACGUACUAGACUGCGAUAAGCUACGGGGAGCUGUCAAGAAGCUUUGAUCCGUAGAUUUCCGAAUGGGGCAACCCAAUGUAUAGAGAUAUACAUUACCUAUAUAGGAGCGAACGAGGGGAAUUGAAACAUCUUAGUACUCUCAGGAAAAGAAAUCAAUAGAGAUUGCGUCAGUAGCGGCGAGCGAAAGCGCAAGAGGGCAAACCCAGUGCUUGCACUGGGGGUUGUAGGACUGCAAUGUGCAAGAGGUAAGUUUAGCAGAACAUUCUGGAAAGUAUAACCAUAGAGGGUGAUAGUCCCGUAUGCGAAAAACAAACCUUAGCUAGCAGUAUCCUGAGUAGGGCGGGACACGAGGAAUCCUGUCUGAAUCCGGGUCGACCACGAUCCAACCCUAAAUACUAAUACCAGAUCGAUAGUGCACAAGUACCGUGAGGGAAAGGUGAAAAGAACUGAGGUGAUCAGAGUGAAAUAGAACCUGAAACCAUUUGCUUACAAUCAUUCAGAGCCCUAUGUAGCAAUACAGGGUGAUGGACUGCCUUUUGCAUAAUGAGCCUGCGAGUUGUGGUGUCUGGCAAGGUUAAGCAAACGCGAAGCCGUAGCGAAAGCGAGUCUGAAUAGGGCGCUUAGUCAGAUGCUGCAGACCCGAAACGAAGUGAUCUAUCCAUGAGCAAGUUGAAGCUAGUGUAAGAACUAGUGGAGGACUGAACCCAUAGGCGUUGAAAAGCCCCGGGAUGACUUGUGGAUAGGGGUGAAAGGCCAAUCAAACUUCGUGAUAGCUGGUUCUCUCCGAAAUAUAUUUAGGUAUAGCGUUGUGUCGUAAUAUAAGGGGGUAGAGCACUGAAUGGGCUAGGGCAUACACCAAUGUACCAAACCCUAUCAAACUCCGAAUACCUUAUAUGUAAUCACAGCAGUCAGGCGGCGAGUGAUAAAAUCCGUCGUCAAGAGGGAAACAACCCAGACUACCAGCUAAGGUCCCUAAGUCUUACUUAAGUGGAAAACGAUGUGAAGUUACUUAAACAACCAGGAGGUUGGCUUAGAAGCAGCCAUCCUUUAAAGAAAGCGUAAUAGCUCACUGGUCUAGUGAUUUUGCGCGGAAAAUAUAACGGGGCUAAAGUAAGUACCGAAGCUGUAGACUUGCGCACAACUUAGAUUAUUUAAGUUUAGAAUAUGAGAAACUAAGUUAUGUUUAGUUAUAUUUUUACUGAUUUUUAUAGAGUAAAGAUAGAAAUAAAACUUAGUAAAAUCAGUAAAAAUAUUCUUAGGCUAAAGUUAAGUAGUUUAAGUUGUGUGCAAGUGGUAGGAGAGCGUUCUAUUUGCGUCGAAGGUAUACCGGUAAGGAGUGCUGGAGCGAAUAGAAGUGAGCAUGCAGGCAUGAGUAGCGAUAAUUAAUGUGAGAAUCAUUAACGCCGUAAACCCAAGGUUUCCUACGCGAUGCUCGUCAUCGUAGGGUUAGUCGGGUCCUAAGUCGAGUCCGAAAGGGGUAGACGAUGGCAAAUUGGUUAAUAUUCCAAUACCAACAUUAGUGUGCGAUGGAAGGACGCUUAGGGCUAAGGGGGCUAGCGGAUGGAAGUGCUAGUCUAAGGUCGUAGGAGGUUAUACAGGCAAAUCCGUAUAACAAUACUCCGAGAACUGAAAGGCUUUUUGAAGUCUUCGGAUGGAUAGAAGAACCCCUGAUGCCGUCGAGCCAAGAAAAGUUUCUAAGUUUAGCUAAUGUUGCCCGUACCGUAAACCGACACAGGUGGGUGGGAUGAGUAUUCUAAGGCGCGUGGAAGAACUCUCUUUAAGGAACUCUGCAAAAUAGCACCGUAUCUUC
rnacentral:rRNA from 1 species